rnacentral:lncRNA from 1 species
GAUAUGAUAAUGAUAAUAGAAGUAUUGAAUUGUAGUGAUCAACAUAGCAAUGAACUGGUUGUGAAAGGUGUUGGGUGAUCUUACUCAAACUAUUGAGAUUAAUGGUUGAGGUCUGUACUUCCUUUGCAAUUUCUAUAAUGCAACCUCUAUUGUUUUUUAAUGUCAUUGUACAUUAUACUGUUGUUUAUUCUACUCUUCUGCAGUUGUGUGCAUAUUCUACUUUACUUUAAUGUUGUUGCAAAUUCUACUUUAUUCUAUUCUUCUGCUUUUAAGUGUAAUAAUAGGUGAAAAGUGGGCUAUUAAUUUAUGUCUGUGAUAUGAAAAUGCGGCUGGAAGUGGGGUAUUGAUUUGUAGUGUGAGAUUUAUCAACAUUGUGUGGUUUCUUAUGAUUUUGAUGACUUUAUGAAUUGGAUUUGUUUAUAACAUUAUAUAAGCUACUGUAAUAGAUUUGUGUUGGAAUAAUUGAUUAUACUUCCAUUUCAUUGAUUUUGUUGUUACUUAUUCCCGUAAUAAAUCUGUUGGGAUCUAGGUUUGUUUAAUAAGAAUUAUGUUGAUUUCGAUCUCAAUUCUUAUUGAACCUUAUUUGAAAGGGAACAAAGAGAGACUUCAGUAAGAUGAUUUUAGAGGUCAAGCAGGCGUUGAACCAUCUUGUGUCAAUGAGGUUGUCAGCGACGACAACUCGUCGUGUUUCAACCUGAAACCAAUGACAAACUCCAACUCUGAUCAAGGUAAAAUAUUAAAAUCCUUCGGAAAAUGAUCCAACUUUUUUUACCCUCACUUUGAUGUUUUGUUAAGUUGUAAUGUUAGAGGAAAUCAAGUGUGAUGCGUCUCUUUGGUUUAUUAGGUAUUUGAUUCAUCAAGUGUUUGUUUUUUGGUUGUUUUAUUAUAGGAAAGAAAGAUACAAUAUGUAUUGCACUUGCUGAUGUCGAGGUUGUGAGAAACAAUCUUAGUGUUAGGCUUAGAGAUGCUGUUUCCGUUCAUCAAUGUCCUGUUAUUGACAUUUUUAUUUCUUAUUGUUUAGUUAUCCUUACAACGACAUUUUUUGAUUGCACACUUUUCCAAUUUGAAUAUAGUAUCUUUGAUUGCAGGGAAAAUGGUAGAGAAUCUUGGACCUUAAUGAGAUAAGAUGGAACCUAAAGAGAGAAACCCUUACUGCACUAGCUAGUUGCCACCUUAUGUGAUACUUAUCAAGUGUUCCUUUGUGAUUUUGUUUGUCUUCUUAAAUUAUUAGUCUAUUCUUAUUUACUAUUUAUUAGUCUUGCAAUUUGUUGGUCUUUGAAAUUACCAGAGAAUCAAUAGUUUGGCUAACAUGUUCUUACUAGUUUCUUAAAUUUACUUAGUACAUUGCCCAACCCUUCCAUCUUUAAGGUGUGCUUAUGAAGAUCAAGAACUAGAAGUGUGUGUGAGUUUAAUUUGGAUGUUGUUUUCAUUUGUAUCGGCAUUUUUCUAGAGAUGAUGGAGACAGCAAAGUAAAGCUAAGAAAUUUAAAGUCAAAGAGCUUGUCAACUCGGGUCAGCUCGAAUUCAUGUAUGUAAUCUAAUUACUAGUUUGUGUAUCAUUUCUUUUCAAAUUCAUGUUUGUAGUUUAUGUUUUAACAUUACAGUAGCUAAUGAUUGGGACAUGGAUUGUUAGCUGUCUGUCAGAAUAGCACGAGUUCACAAAAAUUAGUAAGUUAGAACUGUUGGAUGAAGAUGAGACGGUUAAUAUUUUAAGUUGGAUAAAUUGGGUUUUGGGAUUUGAGCCGUUUGAUUGUCAUUCAACGAUUCUGAUUUGCGACUGGUGAUACAUAAAUUACAUGCAAGUUUCCCUGAUUAAUGAUUAUACACACUGCAACAUUUUUUAGUUUAGGCCACAAUUAACCUUGACCGCGGCUAAAAAACCGUGGCUUAAAAUACGAAUAGGCCACACUUUCUAAACGGUCGCUUAAAAUUUACAUAUGUAGUACACUUUCUAGUUUUAUAAAAAAAACCACAGCCUAUUACAUUUUAGGUGACACUUGAACAAUGGUUUAAAACUGUUGAUAUUUAUGACCACCCAAGAAAACCGUAGCUUAUUUUACUUUUGAUAUUCACUCAUUAUAACCGUGGACUAUUAUUACAUUCUAGGCAACCAAUUCUAACGGUGGCCUAAAGUUCUAUAUGUUGCCUUUACCUUUACAUUUACCUAUGUCAAUUUUUUUUAUUUCCUUUUUUUUUUUAUCAGUCCCCUCCUUUAAGUUUUCAAUCCCCCUCUCAAAAUUUUCACUCUCCCUCUCUGAAUUUUUGAACAUACCCCUCUUUUCUUUCUUGGAAUGGUAAGAAUUCUUAGGCGACCAAUUUGCCUCCUGCCCCGCCAACUCUACUACUGAGAAUAAAAUGUUAAUAAGAUUGAGAAUGAAAAUAAAGCCCAAAGCCAUAGUUCAGUGGCUUUAUAUUUGGAUAAAGUUAAGACUAGCUCAGACAGGGCCAUGAUUUGGGAUCCAUUGAGACCCGAUUCUUUCUGUUAAGACAUGCUUACCAACAUUAUUAUCAUUUGAUUAUGUAUCUGUUAGAAAAUAAAACAUGUCAACAUCAUAGUAUUUAUGAGUUAUUCUAUUGAAUCUAUUCUAUGUGUUUGGUGUACUAAGAGCAUACUUAGUUCUAUUCUAUGUGUUUCUCCCUCUCUUGUAAUUGACGGUAGCUUCGUAUAUAGUUUGCUUCAUUAAUCCAUGUUUUUAGUGUGCUUGACAUAUAGCUUCCUAGUUUGCUUAGUUAGUCCAAGUUUUUAGUGUGCUUGAGAUAAUAUAGUUUUUAGUGUUUUUAGUUAAUCCAAGAUUAAAUAGAGACUAAUNNN